AAUAAAGUGAAAUAAAUGUGUGUCAGGAAAAUUUUGAAGGCUGCGAAGUACUUAAGAAGUAAACGAUUGCCUUCGGGUUGCCUUUCCAAGCUUUCACAAGUCUCCGCGAACCAUCGGAGAAUAUGCAGUUUCUCUCGGAGCUCGAACUCCGAUGAAAGUUGGCAUCUCCUCCGACUGAAAAACCCGAUAAAAUUUUAUCUCAUGAUGAAUAAUAACGCCCCAAGAAACAUGAGCAUCGAGCCGUUCAAUCGGCUGGUGAAGCUUGCGGCUAGGGCCUUUUACGACGACAUAUCAACGAAAGGUGACAAUCAACCGAAAACUGGCCGGAGCGACAACCGAGGGAUUGCCGUGGUCGUGCUCGACGCUCUCACAAGACGGGCGUGGGUUAGAGAAGAAGAUUUGGCUAAGGAUUUGAAAUUACACUCAAAGCAACUUCGUCGGACUCUUCGUUUUUUCGAAGAAGAAAAACUAGUCACUCGAGACCAUAGGAAAGAGACUGCUAGAGGUGCAAAGCAAUAUAGUGCUGCAGUAGCUGCCACCUCUGAUGGACAUUUUGGAAAAGAAGGAGAUGAAAAGGUUAAGCUGCACACACACUCUUACUGCUGCCUAGAUUAUGCACAGAUAUAUGAUGUUGUUAGGUAUAGACUGAACCGAAUGAAGAAAAAACUGAAAGAUGAAUUGGAGGACAAGAACACUAUUCAGGAGUAUAUUUGCCCUAACUGUGGGAGAAGAUAUAAUGCUUUGGAUGCGCUGCAAUUGGUUUCGAUGGAGGAUGAGUACUUUCACUGUGAAAAUUGCAAUGGCGAACUUGUUGCAGAGAGUGACAAGUUGGCUGCUCAAGAAGUAGGAGAUGCUGAUGACAAUGUGAGGAGGCGGCGUCGUGAAAAAUUAAGGGACAUGCUGCAAAAGAUGGAGGUCCAGCUUAAGCCAUUAAUGGAACAACUGAGCAGAGUUAAAGAUUUAACUGCUCCUGAAUUUGGAAGUCUCCAAGCAUGGAGAGCUCGGGCAAGCGCUGCUGGGCGUGCAGCAAAUGGUGAUUCCAUUUCCAAUGAUCCUUCCAAGUCUUCACAGGGGCUUGGUUUUGGUGGAACACCAAUGCCAUUCCUUGGAGAGACAAAGGUUGAAGUUGCCUUUUCUGGUGGAGAAGGCAAGGAAGAAGAUGUCAAAUCUGAGAUUGCAAAUACUGGUCUGAAAGUUUUGCCACCAUGGAUGAUCAAGCAAGGGAUGAACCUUACAAUGGAGCAACGUGGAGAACUGAAGCAUGAAUCAAAAAUGGAUGGCGACCCAGCAGCUGUCAGAUUUUCUGAUGACAAAAAGUCAACCAGUGAAAAUGAUGAUCAGAAGACAUUACAGGAUGAGUAUUUUAAAGCCUAUUAUGCUGCUUAUUUCAUGCAGCACCAAAAACUAGAAGAUACUAAGAGAGAACAAGAGUCGUCAAACACACCCAUCUCCUAUGACCCUUCUAGUACAUCUUCUAAUCGCCAAGUGGGCAUGAAGAGUAAACGUGAAGAGGAUGAACGCGAAGACAAUGUUGACUGGGAAGAGGCUUCAAUUUCUGGCAAUACAUCUGAAAAUUACAAGGUCAAUGACUUGAAUGCUGAAGCAGAUGCCACUGGAGAGGAUGAGGAUGAUGUGGACUGGGAAGAAGGAUGAAGAACAACGAUUUCAUACCAACUGCAUUACUGUGCUCGUGAUAUCGUGAAUAUUUAGUGACAUGACAUGUGUGCUGAAACAAAAGGGAAAUCAGAAUUUUGUUAGUAAUAUUCACAGGGAGCCUGGUAUGCUGAUAGAGAGAAGAUUAUGACACCAUCAGCAGUGGUUAUCGAUUAAUGGCAACGAUCUACUCAGUUUUCUGAGUUCCCAUGGUUUGUGUUUGGGUUAGCAUGGCACUGUUGGUAAAAGCUUCCUAGUAGAAUUGUAGCAUGUACAUUUUAUGGUUGUACUAUUAGUAAAAAAAAUAAAAAUAAAUUGUUGGUGGCUGUCAUGAUAGACCCAUAGUUGUGGUGGUGAUAUAAACCUCUGCAUAUUUAUGUCCUUACAGCCUGUUCGCAUUUUGGAAACCUUUUGUCGUUUCCUGCUUCAGACAUCCAGAAUCAUUUGGAUCUCUUAAGUUUUUAAGAUUUGGUGUUGAUAAUGAUGAUAGCUUAUCUUCGGGUU